rnacentral:sRNA from 1 species
UUUAAAGAAUAUCCUCCAGCUCACAUCGAAUGGUUGGAUGAUACCUCCUGUAAUGUAGUUUGGCUGGAUGAAAUGACAGCCACACGAGCACUUAUCAAUAUGAGCUCCCUGCCUGCACAGGAUAAGAUAAGAAGCAGGGAUGCCAGUGAGGACAAGUCAGCUGAGAAGAGGAAAAAAGAUAAGCAGGAAGACAGUUCAGAUGAUGAUGAAGCUGAAGAAGGAGAGGUUGAAGAUGAGAACUCAAGUGAUGUAGAGUUGGACACGUUGUCUCAGGUAGAAGAGGAGUCUUUGUUAAGAAACGAUCUUCGUCCAGCUAACAAACUUGCUAAAGGAAAUAGGUUAUUCAUGAGAUUUGCUACAAAAGGUAAAUGUAACAUUUGGUAUUGUUUUAUAUUUUCAAUCAAAAUGAUUUAUUAUGGAGUGACAUCCUUCUUUUUUGAAUAGAAGUUAGAUCAAGUAAUCUCAAAGUUCCCUUCAAACUAUAAUAUUCUGUGCUUAUGAAAUAAUUGCUUGCCACCUGAGUUGGAAUUUCUGACUUUAAAAGUGAAUUUUAACUAUUUGUAUAUUUCUGUGACCUCUGGCUAAAGUUAUUUUCUGUUGAAACUGGUUUGCCUCAUAUAUUUUCAGCCAGUUACCAUCUGAAUUAUGAAAACUUUAAAAUGAAACUUUAUUUAUUACAGCAACGUCCUCCUGAACAUUGCCAGUAUACCAUUCGGUUCUAAUUCCCUUCUCAGAUUGUUUACACACAGUGACUUUUGGUGGGCGUUUAAAAAUGUGUGUGUGUGUGUAUGUAUGUAUACACAUGUACACAUAUUUUUUUUUUAAUCAUUUGAGAGUUAGUUGAAGAUAAAAACCCAUCACCCCUAAAUGUAUUCCAAAGAACAAGAACAUUGUUUUAUACAUAGCACACUUAACAAAAUCAAGAAAUUUAACAUUAAUACAGUACUGUUACCUAAUCCGUAGUCGAUAUUCAAAUUUUGUCAGUUGUUCCAAUAAUGUCCUUUAUAUAUUCCCCGCCCAGCCCCAGGUCUAGGAUCCAUCCAGGACUGAGUGUGUAAGUAUGUAAUGUUUCCUUAGUCCCCCUUAAGCUGAAACUACUUCUAUCCUCCCAUGUUUUCCAAGAGUAUAGGUUUACUAUUUUAUAGAAUGUCCCUCAGUUUGGGUUUGUCUGAUGAUUCCUCCUGAUUGAAUUUGGGUUGUGCAUUUGAGACAGAUGUGCCACAGAAGCGAUGUCAUGUCAUUUCCAGAGCAUCAUGUCAGGAGGCCCUGGAUACUUACUCGUCCCAGUCCUAGGGACGUUCACUUUAUUCACUUGGUUAAGAUGACAAAAAGGAACUUGGAGCAGCCAGAAGAAGUCAGUAUUACAUGAAAUAUGGGAAUCCAAAUUACGGAGGCAUGAAAGGAAUUCUUAGCAAUUCCUGGAAGCGAAGAUAUCAUUCCCGUCGUAUUCAGCGGGACGUGAUCAAGAAGAGAGCCCUGAUUGGGGAUGACGUUGGCUUGACGUCGUAUAAACAUCGACAUUCUGGGCUAGUGAAUGUUCCUGAGGAACCCAUUGAAGAGGAGGAAGAGGAGGAGGAGGAGGAAGAGGAAGAGGAAGAAGAAGACCAGGACAUGGAUGCAGAUGACAGAGUGGUGGUAGAGUACCACGAGGAGCUCCCGGCUCUCAAGCAGCCCCGGGAGCGGAGCGCGUCUAGACGAUCCAGUGCCAGCAGCUCAGACUCAGAUGAAAUGGACUAUGAUCUAGAACUGAAAAUGAUUUCCACGCCUUCACCAAAGAAAAGCAUGAAAAUGACUAUGUAUGCUGACGAAGUGGAGUCUCAGUUGAAAAAUAUUAGGAACUCCAUGAGGGCAGAUAGUGUAUCUUCAAGCAAUAUCAAAAACCGAAUUGGUAACAAAUUACCACCUGAGAAAUUUGCAGAUGUCCGACAUCUAUUAGAUGAGAAACGUCAGCACUCCCGUCCACGGCCACCAGUCAGCAGUACUAAAUCAGAUAUACGCCAGCGGUUAGGAAAAAGACCACAUUCUCCGGAAAAGGCUUUUAGUAGUAACCCAGUCGUUCGGAGAGAGCCCUCUUCUGAUGUGCAUAGUAGGUUAGGUGUUCCCAGGCAAGAUAUUAAAGGCCUCUACGCCGAUACUCGGGAGAAGAAAUCAGGUAAUUUAUGGACUCGCCUAGGAUCUGCACCCAAGACCAAAGAAAAGAAUACGAAGAAAGUGGAUCACAGGGCACCUGGCGCUGAGGAAGACGACUCUGAGCUGCAAAGGGCGUGGGGGGCUCUGAUUAAGGAGAAAGAGCAGUCUCGCCAAAAGAAGAGCCGGUUAGAUAACUUACCAUCUCUCCAGAUUGAAGUUAGUCGGGAAAGCAGCUCUGGUUCAGAGGCAGAGUCCUGAUGCCCCUGGGGCCUAUGGCAGCUGCCCUAAAGCCUGACAUUCUUGCACAGGGUGGGGCGUGCAGUAGGAACCUUCCCCGCAGGAGCUGGCGCCCUCUCGCUCCUGCUCACACAGUCACCCUCAGCUCUUGCUACUUCGGCAAGACAUCUUAAGAAUGUGACACGUUUUCAAGGGCAUCUCUAUCUUUCGCUGCAGAGUUGUAGUUCUGGGCCCUCGAUUCCUUUCCCACCACCCCACAGGCUUUACCCUUUGAGAAAAAGGCAGCCCUCCAGAUUUUGUAGACAUUUUUCUUAAUAUUUUUAACAUUGUGUCUUUUAAAAGAAAUGUUUUACACAGUUCAUCCAAAGAGCAGAGAACUGAACUUCUCACUAUUGCCUUGGCCCUGACAGCUGUUACCAGCACCCUUUUCCCAAGAAAAGUCAAUUCCCAGGUGCUUAUUGGACAUCCUUCGAGGGGGAAGAGGAGGGAAGCGGCCAGCUCACCCUUCCGGGACCCUAGUGUGGGGGCGAAUCUCACGGACCUGACCUCAGAGGUGCACCAGUGCCGCCCAGGUAGAUAAGAGCUGCAGCAUUGACUGUGCUUCCGUCCUUCCCUCGGGGAUUGCUCAUGGGCCUCUUACUUGCUGUCAGCUUGAUGUGAAGAUCAACUUCAGUGCUGUGGGAUUUUUAGGAACAAAAAACUGUGACGUCUGGAUUUGGGGUUGAUUUUUGUGCUAGGGGUGGGGUUAUGGGUUAAUGUUGAAGAAUUUUUAAGUCUGUAUUAUGUUUAAAACACGAAUGAUUUGAAAGUUUAAAUUUUUAAGUUUUAUAUGUGGAAAUUCUUCCUGUUGGCUAAAGGGGAAGCUCAAGUGGUGUCUUCUUUUGUGCUGUUAAAUAUAUAUUCUAUUCUUUGGAAGAAGGCAGAGAGAGGAGUCUUAUUAUUUUUAAAUGCUCCUAGUUGUAUAGUCUGUCUGUUGUACAUAGAGUUCAGCUUGUUUUUUGGCUCCAGUAGGAAAAAAAUCCAUCCAUCUGAGAUGGGGUCCUGUUGUUUAUUAUCACUCUAGAAGUUAUACAUUGAUAUUUAUUCUUUCUGUCCGCAAGUUGUGGCACCUGAAGACAUCUUCAAAAUUAGCAGAAAAGAUAAUAGUUAUAAAAAUUUUAGUUCAUUUAUUUUUAAACUCCUUUCAGAUUAUUUUACCAUUAGGAGGAGGUAGAUUGUUUCGUCUUCCUGUCUGAUUUUUGUUUUGUAGUAUUUAAUUUUGUAUUCCUCUGCAGUUUUAAGAAACAGUGUUUUUCUUCGGUUUGCUGGAACAUGGGAGUCAGAGAUGGUAAUAAGCCGUGGUCCUUUUUGCGAUGUCACGACUCUUCACCUGCCUGGGCUGUUGUGCACACAGUGCAGCCUGGAUCCUGUCGAUCUUUACUUGUGGCUGAGCUAAUGGUCACAUUGAUAGUUGAUUACACUGUGGCACGAAUUAAUGCAGAACACUGUUAUUAAUAAAGGAAGUAAAGGGCUGCAAGAUUUAAGAGCUGCAAC